GUAUAGACCCGAAACCCGGUGAUCUAGCCAUGGGCAGGUUGAAGGUUGGGUAACACUAACUGGAGGACCGAACCGACUAAUGUUGAAAAAUUAGCGGAUGACUUGUGGCUGGGGGUGAAAGGCCAAUCAAACCGGGAGAUAGCUGGUUCUCCCCGAAAGCUAUUUAGGUAGCGCCUUGUGAACUCGACGAGUAGGGCGGGACACGUGUUAUCCUGUCUGAAUAUGGGGGGACCAUCCUCCAAGGCUAAAUACUCCUGAUUGACCGAUAGUGAACCAGUACCGUGAGGGAAAGGCGAAAAGAACCCCGGCGAGGGGAGUGAAAUAGAACCUGAAACCGUGUACGUACAAGCAGUGGGAGCCUUGAUUUAUCAGGGUGACUGCGUACCUUUUGUAUAAUGGGUCAGCGACUUAUAUUCUGUAGCAAGGUUAACCGWAUAGGGGAGCCGUAGGGAAACCGAGUCUUAACUGGGCGAAUAAGUUGCAGGGUAUAGACCCGAAACCCGGUGAUCUAGCCAUGGGCAGGUUGAAGGUUGGGUAACACUAACUGGAGGACCGAACCGACUAAUGUUGAAAAAUUAGCGGAUGACUUGUGGCUGGGGGUGAAAGGCCAAUCAAACCGGGAGAUAGCUGGUUCUCCCCGAAAGCUAUUUAGGUAGCGCCUCGUGAACUCAUCUUCGGGGGUAGAGCACUGUUUCGACUAGGGGGUCAUCCCGACUUACCAACUCGAUGCAAACUACGAAUACCGAAGAAUGUUAUCACGGGAGACACACGGCGGGUGCUAACGUUCGUCGUGAAGAGGGAAACAACCCAGACCGCCAGCUAAGGUCCCAAAGUCAUAGUUAAGUGGGAAACGAAGUGGGAAGGCUCAGACAGCCAGGAUGUUGGCUUAGAAGCAGCCAUCAUUUAAAGAAAGCGUAAUAGCUCACUGGUCGAGUCGGCCUGCGCGGAAGAUGUAACGGGG
rnacentral:rRNA from 1 species